UUAUAAUAGUACUUUGCGAUACGAGUGCGAGGAAGCGAACUUUAUAGGCAGACGAGCCUUAUCGCACGAGCCGAAGGCAAGUGCUGCUUGUGGUACGAGUGCGGUGACAUCUAUCUGAUAAGGAAUGAACUGACAUUCUUCCAAGGGAUCGCAAAUCUUCGUAUUGAAAUCUGGUGUUUUACUAGUAAGCUGCAACAUGGCCAAAGAAUUCUCCUCCGUCCAGAAUUCGAGUAAUUUCUUCUGCAGAUCCUCGGACGGAUCCAUCAGACCAUCCAAGAGAAUUUUACUGGCAAAUAUUAAUAAUUCACUCGUAUCACUGUCUUCGGAAAUAUCAC